rnacentral:rRNA from 1 species
GAUGAACGCUGGCGGCGUGCUUAACACAUGCAAGUCGAACGGUGAACACGGAGCUUGCUCUGUGGGAUCAGUGGCGAACGGGUGAGUAACACGUGAGCAACCUGCCCCUGACUCUGGGAUAAGCGCUGGAAACGGCGUCUAAUACUGGAUAUGUGACGUGACCGCAUGGUCUGCGUUUGGAAAGAUUUUUCGGUUGGGGAUGGGCUCGCGGCCUAUCAGCUUGUUGGUGAGGUAAUGGCUCACCAAGGCGUCGACGGGUAGCCGGCCUGAGAGGGUGACCGGCGACACUGGGACUGAGAGACGGCCCAGACUCCUACGGGAGGCAGCAGUGGGGAAUAUUGCACAAUGGGCGCAAGCCUGAUGCAGCAACGCCGCGUGAGGGAUGACGGCCUUCGGGUUGUAAACCUCUUUUAGCAGGGAAGAAGCGAAAGUGACGGUACCUGCAGAAAAAGCGCCGGCUAACUACGUG